CUGAAAUCAAGUGUGACGACCCGCUGAACUUAAGCAUAUCAAUAAGCGGAGGAAAAGAAAUCAAAUGAGAUUUCCGUAGUAGCUGCGAGUGAACUGGAAUCAAGCCUAUUGCCAAUUCUUAUGUUUCGUACAAUAAGAGAUGAGGUGUAAAGGAGUUUCGUGUUGAACAGAUGCACGGCCUAAAUAUUAUCGAGUGAGUUCUCAGAGAAGGUGAAAAGCCUGUUUGGUUGUGUCUGUCUGUUGAAUCGGAAUUCUUACGAGUCUAGUUGUUUGAGAGUACAACUUAAAGCUGGUGGUAAAUUUCAUCAAAGGCUAAAUAUAUGAGGGGACUAAUAGCGAACAAGUACCAUGAGGGAAAGUUGAAAAGAACUCUGACGAGAGAGUUCAACAGUGCGUGAAACCAUAUUGAGUAAAACAGAUAACUGUGUCGUUAUGCGGUGUGUCUAUCAACAGUAUAUCGGGUGUUGCGAUGCGGCGAGUGUUAGCUGUUUAUUCAGACGAUCGCUCGCUGUUAGCAUAGCUCGGGGUUCUGUGUACUAGUGCACAUCCAAUCAUUGAGAAACUAUGCUACUGCGGCAUCGGUGCACAUCAGUCCCCGCCUAGCGGGAAGUUGUGUACUGGGCUCAGCUGGCGGCGUAGUUUAGCUGUGUGACAGCUGUGAGAUGCGUUUGUUGAAUGUGCCUGCUUUGUCUGCGAAUCGGUUUAUUCCUUUUUGCGGUGAGUAUGGUACAGUAGGCGAGCGUCUCGCCAUCAAUGGUUGACAUUAGUUAUUUGACCC
rnacentral:rRNA from 1 species